CCUACGGGAGGCAGCAGUGGGGAAUAUUGCGCAAUGGGCGAGAGCCUGACGCAGCGACGCCGCGUGAGGUAUGACGGUCUUCGGAUCGUAAACCUCUGUCAGCAGGGAAGAACGGUCACUGUGCUAAUCAGCAGUGAAUUGACGGUACCUGCAAAGGAAGCACCGGCUAACUCCGUGCCAGCAGCCGCGGUAAUACGGAGGGUGCGAUCGUUAAUCGGAAUUACUGGGUGUAAAGCGCUCGUAGGCGGUAUGUCAAGUCAAGGGUGAAAUCCCCGCGCUCAACGUGGGAACUGCCUUUGAAACUGGCAAACUUGAGUGUGUGAGAGGAUAGCGGAAUUCGAGGUGUAGGAGUGAAAUCCGUAGAUAUCUGGAGGAACAUCAGUGGCGAAGGCGACUAUCUGGCACAUAACUGACGCUGAGGAGCGAAAGCGUGGGUAGCAAACAGGAUUAGAUACCCCUGUAGUC
rnacentral:rRNA from 1 species